rnacentral:pre_miRNA from 7 species
AUGUGUUGUAAGACCCCCUUUCGGGGACCCCCACUCUAGUCUCGGGAGUGUGAGAGCACCAAAAGAAACACGAGGACCC